rnacentral:rRNA from 1 species
AUGAUAGAGUGUUGCCCGCGGGCAUAUAAUAUAUAUGUGUGGAGACCAUUACUACCUAUGAUAGAAUGUUGCCCGCGGGCAUAUAAUAUAUGUGUGGAUAUAUUUAUAUUUGUGAUUGGUAUGUCCUAUGUUCUAUCCACAUUAUGCAUUGCCUGUGUUCUUGACUUCUCGUUCAUGAACGUUAAGGCCUGUUUUGGUUCAAAGGAUAGGAAUAUCAUAGAAAUAGAAAAGAGAUGUCAUACAUCUCAGUUUUUGUUGGAAAAGAGGUGCUAUUCGAUUCGUAGGAUACAAAAUUUUCCAUAA